ACGGGAGGCAGCAGUGAGGAAUAUUGGUCAAUGGAGGCAACUCUGAACCAGCCAUCUCGCGUGAAGGAAUACGGCCCUACGGGUCUUAAACUUCUUUUAUAGGGGGAUAAAGUGAGCCACGUGUGGCUUUUUGUAGGUACCCUAUGAAUAAGCAUCGGCUAACUCCGUGCCAGCAGCCGCGGUAAUACGGAGGAUGCAAGCGUUAUCCGGAUUUAUUGGGUUUAAAGGGUGCGUAGGCUGUGCGGCAAGUCAGGGGUGAAAGCCCGUCGCCUAACGACGGAACUGCCUUUGAUACUGUCGCGCUGGAAUACGGAUGCCGUGGGAGGAAUGAGUAGUGUAGCGGUGAAAUGCAUAGAUAUUACUCAGAACACCGAUUGCGAAGGCAUCUCACGAAUCCGUCAUUGACGCUGAGGCACGAAAGCGUGGGGAUCAAACAGGAUUAGAUACCCUGGUA
rnacentral:rRNA from 1 species